AUAUGGUAGAGUCUGAGUAGGAACAUUUCACUCAUCUCACUCCAGUAGUUCACAUCAGAAGAAAAAAUUUGCCCUUUCAGCAAAUAUUUUGCAGCAAAAAAAAAAAGUGAAGAUCUGAAGAAUUAAGACAUCCUGACUUCUAAAACUGUGGCUGAAAUAUUGCUGGGGACAGAGAAAACAACUCGACAAGGCUGUGGUGUGCCAGGUCUGUACUACAGGUGUGAAAGGAGCGUAUUUAGCUACCCAGCAAAAAGAUACUCAGUAUGAUGAGAUAUUCUGGAAUCUUUCACAAAUGGCAUUUUGCUUCUACUGUCCCAAUGAAAGACAGAAUGAAUUUCAUCAAUAUGAUGGAGUUGCAAGAAAUUUAGCCUUGUCAAAGAGAGACCUAAGGCUUUGAACACAGAUGAAAUGGGGGCCAAUCUAUACCUACAGAACU